CAUAACAAUAUUUGGUAUGUACUUGACCCGACCCGGCAUGGUCCAUUUGGGUUGCACUUCACCGACACAAUUUAUAUGGAUAAUCUUUUGAGAAUAGUAUGUUUAUGAUUAAUAUUAAUAUAUUAUAAGUUCUAAUAUAUUAAUAUGGAAUCAUAUUAUUUAAUUAGUAUUGAUCAAGAAUUAAUUUAUAAUUAAUUAAGUGAUCAAAAGGAACUAAUUAAAUAUGGACUCUUAUAUAUAUGGAAUGGGCCAAGUUCAUUUAGGUUGGGCUAAGCUUUCAUGGAUAGUCCAUGGAGUGUUUAACCCAUGGAUCCUAGGAAAUGAAAGGUCAUGGGUAUUAGGGUUUAACCCUAAUCCUCCAUACUAUAUAAAGAUGUCUUUGGUUGGUGAAAUUGGCACUAGUGUGGAUACACUAAAGAAGGGCUAGCCAAUUUCACUAGAGAGAACCAAGUAAUCAUAUUCUCUAAAGUAUUCCAAGGUGUCUUGGUGAUUUGUGAUUCCACUUGAGGCUUCCACACUAUUGGGGCUAAGCUCUUAAAGCUUGAAGACAUCAAGCUACAUCAAGAGGUAUGUAUUCUAUCUUGUUACAUUCAUAGUUUUUGUAUGCUAGAUUAGGAUAAUACCUUGGAUGUUCUUAUUUGCAUGUAUAAUAGAGAAAACAUAGAUCCAAGGUAUUUAGGGUUGCAUGUACACUUAGGAAGUGUUAGAAUGCUCAAAACCCAACAGUGGUAUCAGAGCCACGGGUUGUUUUCUGUUAUAUUGAUGCAAAUAUUUUAUUUUCAAAGUUGAAAAAAAAAAAAAAAAAAAACAUGAAGUUCGUCAAAUUUUAAGAUAAUUACUUGUUCUUGUGAAAAACUAAUUAUUUGUAAAAUUUGAAUAAUUUGCUUUAUGAGUUGAAUUAGGUCAAAUUUAAUAAAAGAUAAAAUAAUAUGAUUAUUUUAUUAGUUUUAAAAGUUUGAUCUAAAGAGUUUUAUUUUUUGAAACCUCCAUAAGUUAUGGAUAUGAAAAGGUUUUAAAAAAAAAAUUGAUUCAAAGUUUUUUUGGAGUUACAAAAUUUGGUGUUAAUGUUUUAAAGGAUUCCAUAACUUAAGAAUAAGUUAUGGAUCACCAAAAGUUUUUUGUGUUACCUUGUUUUAUGAGUGAAUUUAGAUUAAUGAAUAAAAUUAUGUGAUAGUUGGUUUUAAUCCAAAUUAAUCUAAGAAUUGAUUCUAAAAUGUGUUUUUGUAACUUGUCCUCAAGUUAUAUGAAAAGUCACAUUUAAGAAUCAUAAAACUCAUAAAAAUUGGCAAAGGUUACAAAAAUGAAGAGUCUAGUUCUAAUUAAAUGGUUUUAUGACUCCAUAACUUGUCCUCAAGUUAUGGAGGACCAAGAGUCUCUUCAUUUAAUAAAAUAAAAUAAAAUAAAAAAAGGUGUAACCUUAAUUAAUUCCAUAAGUUAUAAAAUAAAGAAAAGUUAAUUCUUUUAUUAGUUUAAAGUCUUCCAUAACUUGUCCUCAAGUUAUGGAACUUGAAGAGUUUUUGGAUUAAAACUACUUUAAACACAUAAGUUAUGGAAUUAAUUAGUUUUGAAUAGUUUCAAAACUUGCCCUCAAGUUUUGGAAUUUGUAAAGUUUUCACUUAUGAAUACUUUAAUUCCAAGUUAGCCCUUAGAAUUUUAAAAGUUAAAAUUCAACCCUUAUACUUUAUAAUAUUAUAAGUUAAUAAUAUAUAUAUGUAUAAGAGUAAAGUCAGUCUUACCGCUAGUACGCCUCAUUCACGAAGCCGGUCUAUAAGGUGGGUAUAAGGUUGUUGCCUAUAAAAUGGCAACUUAAUGGGUGUCCACUCUCACCCACCGCUUGCUUGACUGGUGGAGGGUCGUUAGCCGAACGGGUUUGACAGGACUAGAAUUCUCCCUUCAUUAAAAGUAUUAAUGAUAAUACUAAGUAACUAAACUCUUAAUAAUACCCAAUCUUAGUUACUUAGGAAAAAUGUGAAUAAGGUGCUAAUCCAUGAAAUUACACUUUACACUUUGUCUAAGUCGUUAGUGGAGCGUGUGUGGUUAACCGGCACACUAACUUGGACUUAACAAGGUAGGUAAAGGGUGACUUAAUAUUUAUCAUAGUAUCGAUGGAGCGUGUGUGGUUAACCGGCACAUCGAUUGAGGGGUAAUUUAUUAAGGGUACCAAGUGAUUUGCAUGGUUACUUCACACCUUGUUUUGUGAUCCUCGGCAUCCCAGUCACAAAACCUGAAGGGCACACUCGAGAUUGAAACAUGCCUUUGAAAAGUUCAAUGAAUCUCAAAGAUCUAGGAGUUUCAAAACCAAUUAAAACCUAAUAAUACAUUUCGUUUAUCUUGGUGGAAAUUGGUGAAUCGUCAUUCACCUACCUUCAAAUAUUUUAUAGCUUGGAUUACGGCAUACCUCUUCUAAGUUAUAAAAUAGUUUGUUGGGUCCUAGCCUUAAUAUUUCAUAUUGGGUGUCAUAUUAAGGACUUUAAAUCAACUAUCUUGAAUAUCUCCCAAAAGAUGUCUGGUUUAGACACCUAUGAUCUUCCCAAAUCUCUUGAAACAAGGUUUCCUAAUGAAGAUGAUGUCCCAUGGAUAUCAUACUUCUUCACCUCUUCAAAUUAUUCUCCCUAACCCACAAGUUCUUGAAAAGUUUAAGGUCACUCAGGCCCUAUUGGCAAGGCAAGGUCUAGGUGUGGUCACAUCUUGGAGAUGUAGUCACAUAUUGACAAGCCGGGAGAGUUGGGUGUCAAAGUCUUGAGAAAGUUGGUGGUUCAACCACUUUCUAAGUCACAUAGUGAGUUCCUUUGGGACACCUAUGAAACAGACUAUGACAAGACCCUUAAUGAUCUUAUCUAUUUGCUAAGAUCAACUUCCUAAAACUUUAUGGACAUUGACAAUGAUGACAUUGGAUAUCCAGUAAAGCAUUCUCUUCCCAAUGGAAAGGGAUCGGCUAUAGUCAACUCGGUUGACCAAAUGGUAAAGAGAAAAGCUAAGUCUGUGAUAGUCCUGUGUACCAUUAUCAAAGGGUCCAUAUGUUUGUAUUGCCAAAGAAAGGGCAUUGGUUGCGAAGCUGCCAAAUUUACCUAAGGAUGUUAAAGUCAAUAAGUUUGACUCUACUUCAGGUAAAAUCCACUAUCUAACUCUGUUAAGUUUCUAUUCUGAGAUUCUUGAUACAUGAUGUGACCGGGUCGCAUGGUGAUGGUUUAAGAAUCAAAGGAAAGUGAAGAAACUUAAAGGAAGAAUAUGCUGAAUCUGAUCGCAUAGAUGGAUUUCUAUCGCAUAGUUUGAAAAAUCGGAUUCUUGAGCUACUUCUUAGGAGUUAUGAGAUAUUGCUUAGGAAUAGAUAACAACAAGUUUUCAUAUGGAUUGUAAGGAUAGUUUUUCCGCAAAGUUUUAAAAUAAAAGGAAAUUUUUGAUUUUAUUUAUUUUAAAAUAUCCUUACAAUGGCAUCUGUGGAAAUUUUUGUUGCUUAUAAGAUUCCAUUAGUAGCAAGAGUGGAAGUAUGAAAUUGAUUCUUUCAUUUGUGGUAAUGUCUAAAUUUACCAAAUAAGGAAAGAUUCUCAUCACCCAAGUUUCAAUUGGACCGGAACUUGGAAUCAUGCAAGUUGUAUAGCAUGAUGAAUGAGAACUUUCAAGUUUUGGAAAAUUAAGACUAAUUACUUGUUCACAUGGAUGUGUGAGUCAAGUAAAGGACUUAGGGAUCGAGUACACAUUCUUGUGCACUGAUUAAGUCCACCACUAAAGAUCGAUAAGAAGAAUCAAAUAAGGCAGAAGGAUAAAAGUUUCUCAAAUCUGAAAAGAUGGGAGAGUACUUUAGUAUCAGUUUUGUGAUCAUCUUAAUGAUUAAGAAACCAUAUCAAAAUUAGUUCUCUAAGGAAAUCUUAGUGCAUUCUUAUGACUAAGAAGAGGAACUUGAAUUGUUGAAAUGGUUAAAUCAAGAAGAUGAGUCAUACUUCGUUCCAAUACAAGUCUUAGAGUCAUACUCCAAGAUUGUCAUUUGAGUGACAUGUCUUAAAGAAGGUUUAAAACACUUGUCAAAUGUAAGAGUAAAAGUUUUCUACUCUUGUACAUUUGAAAUUGGUAAGUUGUGAUGUUUUGGAUAAAACAAAGACCAACUUAGGCCAAUUGGGUAAAGUGUUUUUCUUGAUUAGAAUCCGCACUAUCUCUUGGAUGUUUGACAAGGGAGUCUUAUAUGUCAAGAGGACAGUGGGAGUCUUAAAGGUCUUGAAAGUCUCAAGAAAUAAUCAAGAAUAAAACCUAAAGUUCUUCACUAGCACACGACUUGAGGUUCAUAACCUAUCGUGUUGACAUAUUCUGUGCCCAUUCCAGUUAAAGUUGGUUUUGCAUAUGAGUUCUUAGAGUUCUCAAUUUGUUGCACAACAACUUGGAAGCAAUGGCAGGCCCUUGAGCUGCCAGGUGGCAAGAAGUUAAGAUUGAGUUCAAUCCAUAUGGUUUUGGAUUUGUCAUUAUCUUUGUCUUGUGAUUAUGGUUUGACAAAUUCAUAUGGGUAGGAACUCAUACACCAUAUAAAUCUAAGUGUCAUAAGGUUUCUCUCCGAUUCAUGAAAAUGAUGGUGAGGAAACGCUUUCACUAAGUAGAUUUUACGAAGAUAUCAAUUGUGUUAUUUGCAUUUUCAAAAGUCGUUAGUGGAGCGCGUGUGGUUAACCGGCACACUAACAUGGACUUGUGAGAAAUGGCAAAUGCCUAAGCAAUUGAGACCAUGAUUACGGUAUCCCUUUUCAUGGUUCUUGAAAUUGCUUAGACACACAGGUGAGCUAUCUACGGAAAGGGUGUAUGAAUCUAAAUUUCAGACUGUCCAGCUGAUUUCUGAGUACAUGUCAAAGCUAGUGGGAGCAUAAGUGUUAUGCUAAUAAUCAUCAUGUUAGUGGGAGCAUGAUAAUUAUGAUAAGUAUUGCAAGUUAGCAAUGUUAAUUAUAGAAAACAAAAGUUUCAAUUGGGAAAAAGUUGUUUUGCUAUAAUUAAGGGAGAGGAAAUUAUGCUUCAUCUCAAAUCUAUAAGCUUAGAUCGUGAGGUUUUAAUCAUUUAGUCAAGGAUAUAUAUGAAUUUCAUGUUGGAAUGGCUCAACAUAAGGAAAUUCUGUAUAUGGGUCCAUUAUUUGCGUUCUAAAAUUCGAUUAUGAUUACGGCAUCCCUUUUCAUAAUCUGAAUUAUGAGAACUUGGCAAAUUGAAAUGGAAAUAUUAUAGCAAAAGACUGGUUUAGUCUUUAUGUAAGACAUCAUGAAUCGUGUCCCAUAUGCUUCGGAUAUAGGAUCGAUUACAUGUGCUAUAUUCAUCCGUUCUAAAAUUUUCCAAAUGCCUGGGGCAUUAAGAAGGGAAAAGGUUUAGAACUGGAUAUGACUAAAAGGAUUAAACAAUUGUCGAGGACAAUCUAAGGUUUACCAAAGAUUGGUUACUCAAGGACAAUUGGAAGUAUAGUGAUAAUUCUGGAAGGACCAUAUUGACAUAAUCUGUAAGGAGGCAACUCUUGUUCAGAAGUGAUAGUCAAAAUGGAAUCUGGAAAUGUUUCAAAGUUAGAAUUUUCAAUCUGUGUAAGAUUAAGGAAACUUAAUGCAAGAAGGAUAUUUCCAAGGAGUUGAUCUCCUUUGGAAUACUCUGUAAUGAUUGUUGCCAAGUCUUUGUGACUUUGUGCAUAAUCAUUACAAGAGGAUCAAUGCAUAUAAGUUUAGAAUCUAACAGAUUUCAGUAAAUGGCAUGAAUUUGGAAUUCUUGCAUUUGCAGUAAGGAUUUGGGAGUGUGAAAAGAGAAUCAUUGAAGUUAUGUUCAAUUGAUCUAGUUCACAAAGUAAAGAUCAUAGACAAACAUAGUAUGCAUACUUGGUGUGUGGCAUGACUAGUGUUUAAGAAAACAUAGUGUACAUGCUUGGAGCAUGGGACAACUAUUGUUUUAAAUUCAAGAAUAAAGUUGAUAGCUGAAACAGUAUACAAUGAAUAAUGUGUAAUCAUAUGGUGAUAAAUAAAAGGUGUUUUAUUUAUGUUCAAAGGGUUGAUACCAUAUUGGAUUCAAUUAUUAUUGUGUUUCACUUUGCAUGUUUUGACUUCCCGAAUAAACUAGGUUAUUCUUCCGGAAUGACUAAGUUAUUCAAACCAUCCACAGUCGGUCAUAUGUUGGAAGUAGAUAUGAAUUAAGACUGUCAUGGGUUGGCUUGUAGAGGUCUAAGGUGUUGGACAAAGGGCUACAACACUCAUGAGUGCUCAUAAGUUCUGAGUAUUGGAUUCAACCCGCGCUCAUUGGAAUCACUUCAUGGAUUUUAUCACGAGUGAUCAUGAGACGAUAAUAUCUUAUAUUCUUCAAACCUAGAGAUAUGAGUUGUUACUAUGAGUUGGUUGUACAUUGAUUGCACGAAAACGCAUUUGGUAACUCGGUGCUAUAAAACGUGCCUUUGUGUAUGAUUCAACAAGUAGUAGAACAAGCCAUAUGAGUCGAAGUUUAUCCAUUCCUUUUACCUUCGGGAUAAAAGCGAUAUCUGUGGGCCCCUCGAUGAUUUGAUGAUGACAAAUGGAAGUGCUCGGCCGGGCCAGGACUGAUUUGAUUUGUUCAAUUAGUCAGUCGUCAUAAAUCGGAAAUCGGGAAACAACAAAUGGACAGAGAGAAUGAUUAUAAUCCAUGUCUCAGUCCAUAUGAUAUCUAGAAUGGAGGAAUAUAUGAUCCCUUAUCUAAUGGACAAGUUCGUUGACAAGAUCAGAGUUCGACAGCAGCUUUAAGAGCUACGAUUGCCAGUUAGGUUUGAAGUCAUACGCAAUAAUAGUUUUAGACUUAUCCAAGUGGGAGACUGUUGGAUUAAUGUCUAAGUCCAUAACUAUAUUUGGUAUGUACUUGACCCGACCCGGCAUGGUCCAUUUGGGUUGCACUUCACCGACACAAUUUAUAUGGAUAAUCUUUUGAGAAUAGUAUGUUUAUGAUUAAUAUUAAUAUAUUAUAAGUUCUAAUAUAUUAAUAUGGAAUCAUAUUAUUUAAUUAGUAUUGAUCAAGAAUUAAUUUAUAAUUAAUUAAGUGAUCAAAAGGAACUAAUUAAAUAUGGACUCUUAUAUAUAUGGAAUGGGCCAAGUUCAUUUAGGUUGGGCUAAGCUUUCAUGGAUAGUCCAUGGAGUGUUUAACCCAUGGAUCCUAGGAAAUGAAAGGUCAUGGGUAUUAGGGUUUAACCCUAAUCCUCCAUACUAUAUAAAGAUGUCUUUGGUUGGUGAAAUUGGCACUAGUGUGGAUACACUAAAGAAGGGCUAGCCAAUUUCACUAGAGAGAACCAAGUAAUCGUAUUCUCUAAAGUAUUCCAAGGUGUCUUGGUGAUUUGUGAUUCCACUUGAGGCUUCCACACUAUUAGGGCUAAGCUCUUAAAGCUUGAAGACAUCAAGCUACAUCAAGAGGUAUGUAUUCUAUCUUGUUACAUUCAUAGUUUUUGUAUGCUAGAUUAGGAUAAUACCUUGGAUGUUCUUAUUUGCAUGUAUAAUAGAGAAUACAUAGAUCCAAGGUAUUUAGGGUUGCAUGUACACUUAGGAAGUGUUAGAAUGCUCAAAACCCAACAGUAAGGACGACAUACUCUAUUCAUCAAGUGCAUGAAUACUGCAGGCGUAUUGGUCAAUCCGAAUGGCAUCACCACGAAAUCGUAGUGUCUGUAACGAGUUCGGAAGGCUGUCUUCGGAACAUCCUCC
rnacentral:lncRNA from 1 species